rnacentral:sRNA from 1 species
GCUGAUGCCUGAGAAGGUGACUCGGUUCUGCCCCCUCGAGGGUAAAGCCAACAAGAACGUGCAGUGGGACGAGGACUCCGUGGAGUACAUGCCAGCCAACCCGGUCAGAAUCGCCUUUGUCCUGGUGGUCCACGGCCGUGCCUCUCGGCAGUUGCAGCGCAUGUUCAAGGCCAUCUACCACAAAGACCACUUCUACUACAUCCACGUGGACAAGCGCUCUAAUUACCUGCAUCGGCAAGUGCUCCAGGUCUCCAGGCAGUACAGCAACGUCCGCGUCACCCCCUGGAGAAUGGCCACCAUCUGGGGAGGAGCCAGCCUCCUGUCCACCUACCUGCAGAGCAUGCGGGACCUCCUGGAGAUGACCGACUGGCCCUGGGACUUCUUCAUCAACCUGAGUGCGGCCGACUACCCCAUCAGGUAAGGCAGCCAAGGGCCCCAAGCCAGUCUUGUCUGACGUCCUGCUCUGGCUGGUCAUGGCUGGGAACUCACGAGGCAGAAGGAGACUGAUGCAUAGUCUCCACAGGAUCGCUCAGGAUAGGAUUCUGAUUGGACCUGAGAAUCAUUGAUUCAUUCACUCAUUCAUUCAUGCAUUCAACAG